CUGCGAUAAGCGCCGGUAAGGUGAUAUGAACCGUUAUAACCGGCGAUUUCCGAAUGGGGAAACCCAGUGUGACUCGUCACACUAUCAUUAACUGAAUCCAUAGGUUAAUGAGGCGAACCGGGGGAACUGAAACAUCUAAGUACCCCGAGGAAAAGAAAUCAACCGAGAUUCCCCCAGUAGCGGCGAGCGAACGGGGAGGAGCCCAGAGCCUGAAUCAGCAUGUGUGUUAGUGGAAGCGUCUGGAAAGGCGCGCGAUACAGGGUGACAGCCCCGUACACAAAAGCGCAUGUGCUGUGAGCUCGAUGAGUAGGGCGGGACACGUGGUAUCCUGUCUGAAUAUGGGGGGACCAUCCUCCAAGGCUAAAUACUCCUGACUGACCGAUAGUGAACCAGUACCGUGAGGGAAAGGCGAAAAGAACCCCGGCGAGGGGAGUGAAAAAGAACCUGAAACCGUGUACGUACAAGCAGUGGGAGCCCCACCACUAAGCCAGUGGUGAACUCCACAUACGCAUCCUUUGCUGAGGAUACGGUUAACGGAGCGAAAGCGACGUUCAACCUCAAAAGAAGCAGAGGGGGCUUAGUGGUGGGGUGACUGCGUACCUUUUGUAUAAUGGGUCAGCGACUUAUAUUCUGUAGCAAGGUUAACCGAAUAGGGGAGCCGGAGGGAAACCGAGUCUUAAUUGGGCGUUAAGUUGCAGGGUAUAGACCCGAAACCCGGUGAUCUAGCCAUGGGCAGGUUGAAGGUUGGGUAACACUAACUGGAGGACCGAACCGACUAAUGUUGAAAAAUUAGCGGAUGACCUGUGGCUGGGGGUGAAAGGCCAAUCAAACCGGGAGAUAGCUGGUUCUCCCCGAAAGCUAUUUAGGUAGCGCCUCGUGAAUUCAUCUCCGGGGGUAGAGCACUGUUUCGGCUAGGGGGCCAUCCCGGCUUACCAACCCGAUGCAAACUGCGAAUACCGGAGAAUGUUAUCACGGGAGACACACGGCGGGUGCUAACGUCCGUCGUGAAGAGGGAAACAACCCAGACCGCCAGCUAAGGUCCCAAAGUCAUGGUUAAGUGGGAAACGAUGUGGGAAGGCCCAGACAGCCAGGAUGUUGGCUUAGAAGCAGCCAUCAUUUAAAGAAAGCGUAAUAGCUCACUGGUCGAGUCGGCCUGCGCGGAAGAUGUAACGGGGCUAAACCAU
rnacentral:rRNA from 1 species